rnacentral:rRNA from 1 species
CACGUAGGGGGCGAGCGUUGUCCGGAUUUAUUGGGCGUAAAGAGCUCGUAGGCGGUUCGAUAAGUCGGGUGUGAAAACUCUGGGCUCAACUCAGAGACGCCACCCGAUACUGUUGUGACUUGAGUCCGGUAGGGGAGUAUGGAAUUCCCAGUGUAGCGGUGAAAUGCGCAGAUAUUGGGAGGAACACCAGUGGCGAAGGCGGUACUCUGGGCCGGAACUGACGCUGAGGAGCGAAAGCGUGGGUAGCGAACAGGAUUAGAUACCCUGGUAGUCCACGCCGUAAACGUUGGGCACUAGGUGUGGGUCUCAACCAACGGGAUCCGUGCCGCAGCUAACGCAUUAAGUGCCCCGCCUGGGGAGUACGGCCGCAAGGCUAAA